CCUACGGGUGGCAGCAGUGGGGAAUAUUGCACAAUGGGGGAAACCCUGAUGCAGCGACGCCGCGUGAGCGAAGAAGUAUUUCGGUAUGUAAAGCUCUAUUAGCAGGGAAGAAAAUGACCGUUCCUAACUAAGAAGCUCCUGCUAAAUACGGGACAGCAACCGCCGUAAUACGUAUGGCUCAAGCGUUACUCGGAUUUACUGGGUGGAAAGGUAGCGUAGGCGGUAAGGCAAGUCUGAUGUGAAAGGCCAGGGCUCAACCUGGGGACGGCAUUGGAAACUGUUUAACUGGAGUGUCGGAGAGGCUAGUGGAAUUCCUAGUGUAGCGGUGAAAUGCGUAGAUAUUAGGAGGAACACCAGUGGCGAAGGCGGCUUGCUGGACGAUGACUGACGCUGAGGCUCGAAAGCGUGGGGAGCAAACAGGAUUAGAUACCCCAGUAGUC
rnacentral:rRNA from 1 species